rnacentral:rRNA from 1 species
CCUGCCAACCCAUAAGAGGUCCAGCCUGCCCAGUGACUCUGUUCAACGGCCGCGGUAUCCUAACCGUGCGAAGGUAGCGUAAUCACUUGUCCUUUAAAUGAGGACUAGUAUGAACGGCACUACGAGGGUUACACUGUCUCCUUUUCUAAAUCAGUGAAACUAAUCCCCCCGUGAAGAAGCGGGGAUAAAUCUAUAAGACGAGAAGACCCUAUGGAGCUUCAAACUUCUCAGCAAUUAUUUUUUACUUAUGCAAUCGCAAGAUGACAAAUAACCCUUAUAAUAUGACUGUAAGUUUUCGGUUGGGGUGACCACGGAGCAAAAUAUAUCCUCCACAAUGAAUUAAAGCCUUAGCUUUAAACAAAGAAAUACAAUUCUAUGCAUCAAAAAAUUGACACAUUGACCCAAUACUUUGAUCAAUGAAC